rnacentral:rRNA from 1 species
CAUGCAAGUCGAGCGGAGCACUUCGGUGCUUAGCGGCGGACGGGUGAGUAACACGUAGGCAACCUGCCUGUAAGAUCGGGAUAACUACCGGAAACGGUAGCUAAGACCGGAUAGCUGGUUUCGGUGCAUGCCGGAAUCAUGAAACACGGGGCAACCUGUGGCUUACGGAUGGGCCUGCGGCGCAUUAGCUAGUUGGCGGGGUAACGGCCCACCAAGGCGACGAUGCGUAGCCGACCUGAGAGGGUGAUCGGCCACACUGGGACUGAGACACGGCCCAGACUCCUACGGGAGGCAGCAGUAGGGAAUCUUCCGCAAUGGGCGCAAGCCUGACGGAGCAACGCCGCGUGAGUGAUGAAGGUUUUCGGAUCGUAAAGCUCUGUUGCCAGGGAAGAAUGUCGUGGAGAGUAACUGCUCUGCGAAUGACGGUACCUGAGAAGAAAGCCCCGGCUAACUACGUGCCAGCAGCCGCGGUAAUACGUAGGGGGCAAGCGUUGUCCGGAAUUAUUGGGCGUAAAGCGCGCGCAGGCGGUCUUUUAUUUCUGGUGUUUAAGCCCGGGGCUCAGCCCCGGUUCGCACCGGAAUCUGGGAAUAUUUGAUUGCA